CUUGAGCAAAAAGAAGCCAGGGACAGUGCUCAGGCCCCAAGUCCAAGCUUCAGGAUUGGCAAAAAAAAAAAAAAAACUUCUAAAAUACUAAGGACAAUCCAAAUGGCUUAAAUGGACACACUGUUAAACUAAUUAUAAACUAUAAAUAAAACAGAAUACUAUUCAAUAAAAAAAGGAAAAGUGAUCAAUAUAUUUUGUGGAUUUCAAGGGGAUUAUGCUGAGUGGAGGAAAAAACAGGGGUUGUGUGGAUAAACAGAAAAGGGUAUCUGGGACAAAUACAGUCAUAAUAUUCAAAUGUACAUACAUGCAAAAGGAAGUAGGAAAUGUGAUAGGACUCCAGGAGGAAGGAAGAGAGGGAACAGGCAAGAAUGAUCAAGAUGUACUGGACAUAUACAUUAGCAGGUUAAGAUGUAACACUCUUGUAUAACCAUUUGAAGACCAAAAAAAAAAAAAAAAAAAAAAGAAAGGAAAAAAAGGAAAAUAAAUUACCCUACCAGUCAAUUUUGAGAUAUUUUUGUGAAAUGCAAAUGCUUUCCAAAACAAAUCAUAAACCAGGGAAUGCCAUGAGCAUAAUGCAGUUACAUUAUGAUGAAAUAUAAUUUUGUACAGAAAAAAACACUCGGUAAGUACAAAAAAAUGUACCCAGAUGGGCCAAAAUGCACACACAUACACAAUGAACAUUUCCAGACUAUUAUACAUCACCAAUUGUGUGAUGGGAUAUAUGCAUCCGUAUCUGGUACUGGACUUAACAUUCAAUUCAUGAGAUCCUUCUACAUCACCUCCUAAUAGCCCACAGGCUGAAACCCUCUUGUUGCUCACUUCCACAGGCAAGCCACAGAUCUUUUCCAAGUUUAAGUGCCAAAUUCAUUGUAGUAUUUAUAUAUUUCAUAGCCAUCUCACAUAUGUAAAACUAUGAAUUUUAAUGGGUAUUUUUAGUUAUCAUUAACAAAAUUCCUGAAUGUUGACCUUCUACCAUUUACCUGUAAGUUUCGUGAUAUUAUACAAUUUUGCAUAGUGUAAUGAUAUUAAAGGUAUAUAUGGCAUAAAAGCAGAACUGACUGUAUUUUUCCAAAUGAUUAAAUCUGGUGUCAGUAUAUCAGACAUCAUAUGCCUCUUGAUAUAUGGCAAUAUGAACCACACAGCACCCCAAGAUUUUUACCAAAAAUCUUGAAACAGUAUAACCAAGCCUCAUAGAUCUAACCUUCAUAGUGAAAAGAAAUAGGAGUAACAUUAGUUUAGUGUAACAAAAAGGAAGUAAUUAGACAAAUUCAAACUGCUGUAGUUAUCCAGACAAUUAGUUUCUGUGAUUAAAUCCUAUUUUGGAAAAAAAAAAAAAACUACUAUAGAACAUAUUUUUAGUAGCAUAAGGGAAAUUGACUAGAGACACCAGAGUAUUAAAUAUAGAAGUAUUGCUAACCUUAAGAUUGUUAUUACACUUAAUUAUAAAACAUCCUUAUUUUUAGAAUUAAAAUCUAAGUUUCUGUAUGUUAAAAAAAUAAAUAUGGGAAUAUAUCUAAAUGUUUCUGUAUGGAUGUAUAAUAUAAAUAUACACUCGUAAGUAACAAGUUACUAUAGAAUUAAGUUAAAACAGAUGCAACCAAGUUUGAGUAGGAGCAAGAAUAAUUUUAUCACAGAAUAUAGAGGAUAAUGCUAAUAACAUUAUGACAAUAAAACAGAAAAUAAGUUCAUGCGGAAAUAAAACAAUUCAUAGUUUCUAGUUCUACUACCUAAAACAUGUCUUUACAAAACAGAAAUCUGGGCAAGGCUUAAGUGGUAAGGUGCUUUUGUAGCAAGCACAAGUCCCAGAGUGAGCUGUGGGGCAGAGCUGAUGCUUGUUGAAAGAUAAGGAUAGGAGUCGCCACUGAAGAAUAAACAACAAAAA